rnacentral:lncRNA from 1 species
AGGCACUACCCUGUGAUUUCCUGGUUAGAAUACUUGGCUUUUGCCUUCUCCCAUCUGGAUGCACCAGAAGAGGGAACGGGACUGGGGACAACAAAGGAUUAACGAAGAUUUCAAAGCUGGGAGUUGUAAAGUGGGAAUUGCUAAUGAAGAAGGCUCUUGGCAUUUGGAUCCCCAUCUCCAGCUCUCCAAUAAGCCAGAGCAGGAGGGAACAAAGGGGCACCCGGAAGGGAGAAGAGGAGACUCGCAUAGACACUGCUCAGCAAUAGUGGGGAUCAAAAGAAGAAAAAGGUCGCUGCAGUGGAAGAAGAAAAAUCCAAGCUGUACUUUUUCCCCACCCCACGUGUGGGGGCGCUGCCCUCUCCCCAGCUGAGCCUGUGAAGGGGUGGCAGGACAAAAAGGGCAGCCACAAGGGUCUGCGAAGUCCACUCGAUGACCACGGAGGCCGCCUGAACAUGCUAAUGAGGGGAUGGCGGUGCUGCCAGCGAGUUGGGAGCCUCAGGCAGGUGGGCUCCUUGGUGGUGAUAGAUCCCAAUCUGAAUCAGGGCUCCCGCCUCACCUA